GAUGAACGCUGGCGGCGUGCCUAAUACAUGCAAGUCGAGCGAACAGAUAAGGAGCUUGCUCCUUUGACGUUAGCGGCGGACGGGUGAGUAACACGUGGGUAACCUACCUAUAAGACUGGGAUAACUUCGGGAAACCGGAGCUAAUACCGGAUAACAUUUGGAACCGCAUGGUUCUAAAGUGAAAGAUGGUUUUGCUAUCACUUAUAGAUGGACCCGCGCCGUAUUAGCUAGUUGGUAAGGUCACGGCUUACCAAGGCGACGAUACGUAGCCGACCUGAGAGGGGGAGCGGCCACACUGGAACUGGGACACGGUCCAGACUCCUACGGGAGGCAGCAGUGGGGAAGCUGCCGUAAUGGGCGAAAGCCUGACGGAGCAACGCCGCGUGAGUGAUGAAGGGUUUCGGCUCGUAAAACUCUGUUAUUAGGGAAGAACAAACGUGUAAGUAACUGUGCACGUCUUGACGGUACCUAAUCAGAAAGCCACGGCUAACUACGUGCCAGCCGCCGCAGUAA
rnacentral:rRNA from 1 species